AGCUUUUAGAUCUUCAACCAGACACCUGCCAGAAGUACCUUUAACAUGCAAACUAGCCAAGGGAGUUUGCCUGCUUCUAGUCACCAUCAAAGCAGAGAACCUGAAGAAAGAUUACGCACAUCCUCCUGGCACUGCCCCUGAGCUAUCCCUAAUGAAGAGGCAGGAAAACCAGGAGUUAUUAGGAGGGAAAACAACUAUAUCCAA
rnacentral:lncRNA from 1 species